CCAGGCUCCUACGGGAGGCAGCAGUGGGGGAUAUUGCACAAUGGGGGAAACCCUGAUGCAGCGACGCCGCGUGAGUGAAGAAGUAUUUCGGUAUGUAAAGCUCUAUCAGCAGGGAAGAAGAUGACAGUACCUGAGUAAGAAGCCCCGGCUAACUACGUGCCAGCAGCCGCGGUAAUACGUAGGGGGCAAGCGUUAUCCGGAUUCACUGGGUGUAAAGGGAGCGUAGACGGCGACGCAAGUCUGGAGUGAAAGCCCGGGGCCCAACCCCGGGACUGCUCUGGAAACUGCGUCGCUGGAGUACGGGAGGGGCAGGCGGAAUUCCUGGUGUAGCGGCGAAAUGCGUAGAUAUCAGGAGGAACACCGGCGGCGAAGGCGGCCUGCUGGACUGCAACUGACGUUGAGGCCCGAAAGCGUGGGGAGCAAACAGGAUUAGAUACCCGGGUAU
rnacentral:rRNA from 1 species